GUAAGGUCAAGUAAAAAGGGCGCACGGUGAAUGCCUAGGCACUAAAAGCCGAUGAAGGACGUGACUUAUUACUAAAAGCUUCGGGGAGCGGUAACUACGCAGUGGUGCGGGAUGCCCCACUCGCGGAACCCAUUUCG
rnacentral:rRNA from 1 species